rnacentral:rRNA from 1 species
GGCCUUGACAUACUAAGAACUUCCAGAGAUGGAUUGGUGCCUUCGGGAACUUAGAUACAGGUGCUGCAUGGCUGUCGUCAGCUCGUGUCGUGAGAUGUUGGGUUAACGUCCGCAACGAGCGCAACCCUUUUCCUUAUUUGCCAGCGGGUAAUGCCGGGAACUUUAAGGAUACUGCCAGUGGCAAACUGGAGGAAGGCGGGGACGACGUCAAGUCAUCAUGGCCCUUACGGCCAGGGCUACACACGUGCUACAAUGGUCGGUACAAAGGGUUGCUACCUCGCGAGAGGAUGCUAAUCUCAAAAAGCCGAUCGUAGUCCGGAUCGCAGUCUGCAACUCGACUGCGUGAAGUCGGAAUCGCUAGUAAUCGCGGAUCAGAAUGCCGCGGUGAAUACGUUCCCGGGCCUUGUACACACCGCCCGUCACACCAUGGGAGUUUGUUGCACCAGAAGUAGGUAGUCUAACCGCAAGGAGGACGCUUACCACGGUGUGGCCGAUGACUGGGGUGAAGUCGUAACAAGGUAAGCGUAGAUGA